UGCCAGGGUCAAGUUCCCCCGCCGAGCCCGGGCGCUAGGGCCCACGCCGCUCUUGGGCCCCUGGGCAUUGGUCACUAUAAGCUGAGCAGCGGGAAACAAACGAAGAGUCUGAGCCUCUAGGCGGGAUCCCGCGGGGUCCUCUGAACUUUGCGCCCACGGCGAGGCGGGGGCCGGACCUCGCGCUGCGCCGGGGCUCUCGCGCGGGUUCUCGGGGAAGCGGGAGGACAGCGGGUCUCCGCGGCGGGGGCGCAGCUCAGACAGCGGCUCCUUCCCGACGCCAGCCGCCCUGCAGCCGGGAGCGGGCGCCUACCUCGGAGCACGGCCGGACGCCCAGCUCUCCCCGGCGGCCCCGCGCACCCUGCGGGAGGAGCCGGCCGCCGUGACGCGUCAGGGAGGAAGCGCCAGCGCCCGGCGGCCCUGCCGGGAAGGAGGAAGCGCGAGUGCGCUCGGCUCCGCGCCCGCCGCGCGGGAAGGCAGCACCACGGAGCCUGGUCUUUCUCCCUCGUCUGUUCCUGAUGCCACUUAAUGUUACAUCUUAAUGUCCGUUCCAUAGGGAAGGCCUGAGGCGUGAUGUUCUCCUUUAGUUCUGCUCCUCCGGACCACGCACGGUUGCAUGAUGGAAUUUGAACAUUACCUCAAGAGGUUUUAUGUUUUGGAUUAGCUAAUUGUGUUUGUCCUCUGCUGACUCUUUCUUCGGACUCACUUUUUGGUGUCCUUUUGAGGCGGUAAACUCAAAGGGAUUAUACCAUGGACUACAAGGAAAGCUGUCCAAGUGUAAGCAUUCCCAGCUCUGAUGAACACAGAGAGAAAAAGAAGAGGUUUACUGUUUAUAAAGUUCUGGUUUCAGUGGGCAGGAGUGAGUGGUUUGUCUUCAGAAGAUAUGCGGAGUUCGAUAAGCUUUACAACACUUUAAGGAAACAAUUUCCUGCUAUGGCCCUGAAGAUUCCUGCCAAGAGAAUAUUUGGUGAUAAUUUUGAUCCAGAUUUUAUUAAACAGAGAAGAGCGGGACUGAAUGAAUUCAUUCAGAACUUAGUUAGGCAUCCAGAACUUUACAACCAUCCAGAUGUCAGAGCAUUCCUUCAAAUGGACAGUCCAAAACAUCAGUCAGAUCCAUCUGAAGAUGAGGAUGAAAGAAGUACUCAGAAGGAGAGGCCUUUUCAACCAGAAUAUUACAUACCUCUUCCUCUGCAUUGUCAGGUUUUGAGAUGUAGAGCAAUCAAUACACAUGUGCUGCUACACUCUACCUCACAGAACAUUAACCUGGGACCAUCUGGAAAUCCUCAUGCUAAACCAACAGACUUUGAUUUCUUAAAAGUUAUUGGAAAAGGCAGCUUUGGCAAGGUUCUUCUUGCAAAACGGAAACUGGAUGGAAAAUUUUAUGCUGUCAAAGUGUUACAGAAAAAGAUAGUUCUCAACAGAAAAGAGCAAAAACACAUUAUGGCUGAACGUAAUGUGCUCUUGAAAAAUGUGAAACAUCCAUUUUUGGUUGGAUUACAUUAUUCUUUCCAAACAACUGAAAAGCUUUAUUUUGUUCUGGAUUUUAUUAAUGGAGGGGAGCUGUUUUUUCACUUACAAAGAGAACGGUCCUUUCCUGAACACAGAGCUAGGUUUUAUGCUGCUGAAAUUGCCAGUGCAUUGGGUUAUUUGCACUCCAUCAAAAUAGUGUACAGAGACUUGAAACCAGAAAAUAUUCUUUUGGAUUCAGUAGGACAUGUUGUCUUAACAGAUUUUGGGCUUUGUAAAGAAGGAAUUGCUAUUUCUGACACCACAACAACAUUUUGUGGGACACCAGAGUACCUAGCACCUGAAGUAAUCAGAAAACAGCCCUAUGACAAUACUGUAGAUUGGUGGUGCCUUGGUGCUGUUCUGUAUGAAAUGCUGUAUGGAUUGCCUCCUUUUUAUUGCCGAGAUGUUGCUGAAAUGUAUGACAAUAUUCUUCACAAGCCCCUAAGUUUGAGGCCAGGAGUGAGCCUUACAGCCUGGUCGAUUCUGGAAGAACUCCUAGAAAAAGACAGGCAAAACCGACUCGGUGCCAAAGAAGACUUCCUUGAAAUUCAGAAUCAUCCUUUUUUUGAAUCACUCAGCUGGACUGAUCUUGUACAAAAGAAGAUUCCACCACCGUUUAACCCUAAUGUGGCAGGACCAGAUGAUAUCAGGAACUUUGAUGCAGCGUUUACAGAAGAAACAGUUCCGUAUUCCGUGUGUGUGUCUUCUGACUAUUCCAUAGUGAACGCCAGCGUACUGGAGGCUGACGACGCCUUUGUUGGUUUCUCUUAUGCACCUCCUUCAGAAGACUUAUUUUUGUGAGCAGUCUGCCAUCAAGAACCCAUUGAGCAAAUAUAAGCCUACAGAUGAGAUGGAAACUCCUGUUUGUGUUUAUGCUAACAUCUACCCAAGAUAGACUGUUUUUUAACAGUCUCAGUUCAGUUAACAUACAUUAAUGCCUUUGUAGCUCUACUUUGAGUUCUCAGAUCACAACUAUGCAAUUGGUACAUGGUUGUUUAAGAAGAAACCAUAUCUUUCCAUAAUGAAUCACUGUUUGACAUAAUCAUUUCUUGGUAGGAUUAAAAUAUAAAAGCAUAGUUAACUCAUUGGCUGCUAGCUAACGCUUUGAGUAACUGUCCAUUCUGCAGAUCAAAUUAAGAAGUAACAAAAGGAAAUCCUAUACUUUUGAAAUCAAAUUUGUGAAUUAUUUUUCCUCUGGAGGAAAAGUAAACGUUUAAUAGUUAGAAAUUUUAAGUAUUCCCAAAGCUCUGAAGGGAAAUAAAGUACUGCUGGAUUUUUUUUUUAAGGCGGUGCCAAAAGUGAAUGUCUCUGUGUCAUGUAUUUAUAUUACCAAUACAUUCUAUUUAUGUUCUUUUUGGUCUUUUGAAUAUUUAAUAUAUUGUUAAGUAGGUCUAAAUCUUGAUUUUUGUUUUUGCAAAUAGUUAUUCAAAACUAUCUUCCUAAUUGGUUGAUAAGUAAAAAAUAUUGCACUGUCCAGAGUAUUUACCUAAUUGGGAAAUAAAAAGUAGAAUAGCAAAUUAUGGGUCAGUAUAAAUGUAUACAGUUUUACUACAAUGUAACAAAAGUUAAAAAUAAUUUAGGCAGAUGCAUAGUCAGUAUCUUAUGUAUCUUAGUAAAAGUACAGGAAGCUGACCUUAAAAUCAUACUAAAAACCAACUAACUUGUAUACUUGUAAUUUUAAAAAAGAAUAUCUACAGAAAAACUAAAACUCAUGCUUACCUUGGGAUUCUGAUUCUUAGUUUAGAGAUUUUUCAGGUCUUGUAGGAAACUGUGAAAGAGUUUAGUGACACAGUUUUGAUGCUUCAGGAACAAGCAUACUUUCCAUGUAUUUUCUCUUGAGAAAGAAAUUACAAAAACUUUUCACACGAAUACCCUUUAGCGUAAAAUUGUUCAGCAGAAGCAGGGGAGGCAGAGUGUACUUUUGUUAGAUUAGUAAUGUUUGCAUCCAAUACACUGAAUCUUCCUUUAGAGGUAAGACUUUAAUAGCGACACUGUAAAUAUUUGGUUUAUUUGGCACUACUGUAAGUUCUGCUUUUAUACAAAGCUCUUUGCUUAUUAUAAAACAAAAACUGUAGUUUCUUGUAUGAUUUUUUUUACUCAGCUGUUCCUUAAUUAAACUGCCAAAAAUUAAAGUGCAAUAUUGUAUAUUU